ensembl:snoRNA
AACCAGUGAUGCACUGAUUCUGCCAAAUGAGUAAAAUGAUAUCACAUACUAAACCGUUCCAUUUUUCUCUGAGGUU